CCUACGGGAGGCAGCAGUGAGGAAUAUUGGUCAAUGGGCUUACGCCUGAACCAGCCAAGUCGCGUGAGGGAAGACUGCCCUAUGGGUUGUAAACCUCUUUUGUCAGGGAGCAACGCCGGCUACGUGUAGCCGGACUGAGAGUACCUGAAGAAAAAGCAUCGGCUAACUCCGUGCCAGCAGCCGCGGUAAUACGGAGGAUGCGAGCGGUAUCCGGAUUUAGUGGGUUUAAAGGGGGCGUAGGCGGAAUGCAAAGGCAGCGGUAAAAUCUGGGGGCUCAACCUCGCUCCGCCGUUGAAACUGGCGUUCUUGAGUGGGCGAGAAGUAUGCGGAAUGCGUGGUGUAGCGGUGAAAUGCAUAGAUAUCACGCAGAACUCCGAUUGCGAAGGCAGCAUACCGGCGCCCGACUGACGCUGAGGCACGAAAGCGUGGGGAUCGAACAGGAUUAGAUACCCCUGUAGUC
rnacentral:rRNA from 1 species